rnacentral:rRNA from 1 species
UUCCAUAAUAAAGUUUUUAUGGUAGUACCUGCUCUAUGUGACGUUAUAAAUGGCCGCAGUAUCUUGACUGUGCAAAGGUAGCAUAAUUAAUUGCCUUAUAAUUGAAGGCUUGUUUGAAUGGUUUGACGUGGUAGUAACGAAUAUUCGAUUUUUAGUUGAAAUUGGUUUAGAGGGCACAGAAUCCUCUAUAUGUUAGUUAGACGGAAAGACCCCAGGAUCUUUCAUUUUUUUGUCUGGGGCAGAUGAGAAUAUUUCAUUUUUAUUAGGACCCUAAAAAGUUUAUUGAGUUAAGUUACCCUGGGGAUAACAGUGUAAUAGUCUAUUAGAGGCCUUAUCGAAUAGACUGUUUGCUACCUCGAUGUUGACUUAGGUAAAUAAGCUGGGCGCAGUAGUCUAGUUUUUUGGUCUGUUCGACCUUUGUUACCUCC